rnacentral:rRNA from 1 species
AUUGAACGCUGGCGGAAUGCUUUACACAUGCAAGUCGAGCGGCAGCGCGGGGCAACCUGGCGGCGAGCGGCGAACGGGUGAGUAAUACAUCGGAACGUGCCCAGACGUGGGGGAUAACUACUCGAAAGAGUAGCUAAUACCGCAUAUGAUCUAAGGAUGAAAGCGGGGGAUCGCAAGACCUCGCGCGUUUGGAGCGGCCGAUGGCAGAUUAGGUAGUUGGUGGGGUAAAGGCUUACCAAGCCUGCGAUCUGUAGCUGGUCUGAGAGGACGACCAGCCACACUGGGACUGAGACACGGCCCAGACUCCUACGGGAGGCAGCAGUGGGGAAUUUUGGACAAUAGGCGAAAGCCUGAUCCAGCCAUUCCGCGUGCAGGAUGAAGGCCCUCGGGUUGUAAACUGCUUUUGUACAGAACGAAAAAGCUCUAGUUAAUACCUGGAGUCCAUGACGGUACUGUAAGAAUAAGCACCGGCUAACUACGUGCCAGCAGCCGCGGUAAUACGUAGGGUGCAAGCGUUAAUCGGAAUUACUGGGCGUAAAGCGUGCGCAGGCGGUGAUGUAAGACAGUUGUGAAAUCCCCGGGCUCAACCUGGGAACUGCAUCUGUGACUGCAUAGCUGGAGUGCGGCAGAGGGGGAUGGAAUUCCGCGUGUAGCAGUGAAAUGCGUAGAUAUGCGGAGGAACACCGAUGGCGAAGGCAAUCCCCUGGGCCUGCACUGACGCUCAUGCACGAAAGCGUGGGGAGCAAACAGGAUUAGAUACCCUGGUAGUCCACGCCCUAAACGAUGUCAACUGGUUGUUGGGUCUUCACUGACUCAGUAACGAAGCUAACGCGUGAAGUUGACCGCCUGGGGAGUACGGCCGCAAGGUUAAAACUCAAAGGAAUUGACGGGGACCCGCACAAGCGGUGGAUGAUGUGGUUUAAUUCGAUGCAACGCGAAAAACCUUACCCACCUUUGACAUGUACGGAAUCCUUUAGAGAUAGAGGAGUGCUCGAAAGAGAGCCGUAACACAGGUGCUGCAUGGCUGUCGUCAGCUCGUGUCGUGAGAUGUUGGGUUAAGUCCCGCAACGAGCACUACCCUUGCCAUUAGUUGCUACGAAAGGGCACUCUAAUGGGACUGCCGGUGACAAACCGGAGGAAGGUGGGGAUGACGUCAAGUCCUCAUGGCCCUUAUAGGUGGGGCUACACACGUCAUACAAUGGCUGUACAAAGGGUUGCCAACCCGCGAGGGGGAGCCAAUCCCACAAAGCCAGUCGUAGUCCGGAUCGCAGUCUGCAACUCGACUGCGUGAAGUCGGAAUCGCUAGUAAUCGUGGAUCAGAGUGUCACGGUGAAUACGUUCCCGGGUCUUGUACACACCGCCCGUCACACCAUGGGAGCGGGUUCUGCCAGAAGUAGGUAGCCUAACCGUAAGGAGGGCGCUUACCACGGCAGGGUUCGUGACUGGGGUG